rnacentral:rRNA from 1 species
AACGCGAAGAACCUUACCAGGCCUUGACAUCCGAUGCAUAGCACAGAGAUGUGUGAAGUCCUUCGGGACAUCGAGACAGGUGGUGCAUGGUUGUCGUCAGCUCGUGUCGUGAGAUGUUGGGUUAAGUCCCGCAACGAGCGCAACCCUUAUUGCCAGUUACUACGCAAGAGGACUCUGGCGAGACUGCCGUUGACAAAACGGAGGAAGGUGGGGAUGACGUCAAAUCAUCAUGCCCUUUAUGACCUGGGCUACACACGUACUACAAUGGCGUUUAACAAAGAGAAGCAAUACCGCGAGGUGGAGCAAAACUCAAAAACAACGUCUCAGUUCAGAUUGCAGGCUGCAACUCGCCUGCAUGAAGUCGGAAUUGCUAGUAAUCGCGGAUCAGCAUGCCGCGGUGAAUACGUUCCCGGGUCUUGUACACACCG